rnacentral:rRNA from 1 species
ACAGGGAUUGCCCUAGUAACGGCGAGUGAAGCGGCAACAGCUCAAAUUUGAAAGCUAGCCUUCGGGUUCGCAUUGUAAUUUGUAGAGGAUGAUUUGGGGAAGCCGCCUGUCUAAGUUCCUUGGAACAGGACGUCAUAGAGGGUGAGAAUCCCGUAUGUGACAGGAAAUGGCACCCUAUGUAAAUCUCCUUCGACGAGUCGAGUUGUUUGGGAAUGCAGCUCUAAAUGGGAGGUAAAUUUCUUCUAAAGCUAAAUAUUGGCGAGAGACCGAUAGCGCACAAGUAGAGUGAUCGAAAGAUGAAAAGCACUUUGGAAAGAGAGUUAAAAAGCACGUGAAAUUGUUGAAAGGGAAGCGCUUGCAAUCAGACUUGUUUAAACUGUUCGGCCGGUCUUCUGACCGGUUUACUCAGUUUGGACAGGCCAGCAUCAGUUUCGGCGGCCGGAUAAAGGCUCUGGGAAUGUGGCCUCCACUUCGGUGGAGGUGUUAUAGCCCAGGGUGUAAUACGGCCAGCCGGGACUGAGGUCCGCGCUUCGGCUAGGAUGCUG